ensembl:lncRNA
CAAGUCCAGGCAAGUCCUGGGCAAAGGCAGAGAAAUCUUUUGUCUUGAGGACACUGAUGGACAGGUCCUGGCUAAGGGUUGUGAAAUCCUCUAAGGAGCACAGAUGGACAAGGCCGGGGGCAACGAGAGAGAGAUAAGCUGCUGAUAAUGGCCGGGAAACGGUCUUUUUGUGUGGACUUAUCUCGAGGAAGAUGGCCAUCUCAGGAGGUAUACACAGGACUCUUGCUCAAGCACCCAGGGAUGUCACGUAGGCAGCAGAAAAUGGAGGAUAAAAGAGGGUCCAACAACCACGGCGAUGUGGAGGCUGAUCUCUCAUGAUCUCUCACCACGACACGAGCUUUCUGCCUUCAGAUCCUUCUCUACGGACCGUUUGUUGACGGACUUCCCUGGGCCUGCUACCUGAGACCUGCUGCUUCCUCCCUGACCUGCACCCUCUGGUUGCCCAAGACCGGCCUCGCUGCUCCUGCUCUUCGGCCUCGGACCGUCAGAAGGUCGUGCAAUGGGACUGCUGCCGGAUCCUGGUGGAAAGUUUUUCUACAGCUGGAAAUGCUUCAGGGCGAUGCAAGCCAAACAGUUACUGCGUGCUGGGGACUGUUUCCAGAAAUAUGGAGUUCUGGAUAUUUAUCACACAGAGCAGCUGAAGUGAUCUUUCAGGAAGGUCUGUAAUAGACUACAGAUAAGGACAUGUCUAGAAGAAUAAACCAUCACCUUUUCAUUUAAGAGAAAGCAUUUUAAAGAAGAAUACCUUCUUUUUCCAUCUGAUGGGAAGACAAGGAAUCUUUUUUCAUCGUUUCUGUUUUACUCAAGCCCUUACAGGUCACUGAUGCCAGCUUCAGUGUUCGCUUGUUAACAUUUCAAAGGAGUACUUUCAUGUCUUCUCACAUGCUGCCUCCGAGGAGCUAGCUGCAAACCUCCAUGAAGCUGCUUCAUUAUCCUCCAUCAGACGCUGCUGAAAGCUCUUCCUGGCCGGGGUGCCUGUGACAGCCUCCAGACAAGGAGGUUGCUGCCAUGCUGUGCCUGCUGGCAGCCGUGCUGCCCACCCUGUGCCUCAUCACUCCCAUCUCCUCCCUACCUGGUUGUCUCUUCUCUCAAGUUGUCAGGUUUUUUUUUCCUUUGUUCCCCCUGACUGAGAUCCUGAUCUAUGACUCCUGAGCGCUGUGGUAACUGGCAAG